GGUAGCUUAGUGGGCAAAACGCUUAUAGCUAUUUACUCGGUAAUGAAGGUCGAUGGUUCGAUUCCAUCCUGGAACA
rnacentral:tRNA from 1 species